GAGAGAGAGCUAGGGAGAGUUGAGUUGAGUAGAGAAUUUUUCUCCUCCUCCUUGUUUUGUUGUUUGUAUUGUUUCCAAGCUUGAUUAAUACAAACCAGUAGCUCCGUGGAGUAGGCAAGUUGCCGAACCACGUAAAUUUGUGUGUGUUUGAUUGCUAGAAUGUCCCAACAACUGGUAUCAGAGCUUAUUCUUGACAAAGAGGGUGUUUGAUCCAAACUCAAAAAUCAAAGUUCUCAAAAAGUGUUUUUGAACAUACCAUCGUGUAGAGGACAACCGGACGAAUCCACUGUUGAAAACCCGGCGAAGAACCGACGUCCUGCAUGCCCGCACGCGCCCACACGCGCCCACACGCGCCCACACGCGCCGACGUCCAGACUGCCCACGCGCACCAACGCACCGUACGCGCGCCACGCUCCAUCUUCGCC
rnacentral:lncRNA from 1 species